rnacentral:rRNA from 1 species
AGUGAACGCUGGCGGUAGGCCUAACACAUGCAAGUCGAACGGCAGCACAGUAAGAGCUUGCUCUUACGGGUGGCGAGUGGCGGGCGGGUGAGGAAUACAUCGGAAUCUACUUUUUCGUGGGGGAUAACGUAGGGAAACUUACGCUAAUACCGCCUACGACCUACGGGUGAAAGCAGGGGAUCUUCGGACCUUGCGCGAUUGAAUGAGACGAUGUCGGAUUAGCUAGUUGGCGGGGUAAAGGCCAACCAAGGCGACGAUCCGUAGCUGGUCUGAGAGGAUGAUCAGCCACACUGGAACUGAGACACGGUCCAGACUCCUACGGGAGGCAGCAGUGGGGAAUAUUGGACAAUGGGCGCAAGCCUGAUCCAGCCAUACCGCGUGGGUGAAGAAGGCCUUCGGGUUGUAAAGCCCUUUUGUUGGGAAAGAAAAGCAGCAGGUUAAUACCCCGCUGUUCUGACGGUACCCAAAGAAUAAGCACCGGCUAACUUCGUG